rnacentral:tRNA from 1 species
AGCUCAGUUGGUAGAGCAAGUGACUUUUAAUCACGAGGUCGCAGGUUCGAGUCCUGCCA